CAGUAGCCACGGUAAUACGUAGGGUGCAAGCGUUAAUCGGAAUUACUGGGCGUAAAGCGUGCGCAGGCGGUUCGUUAAGACAGAUGUGAAAUCCCCGGGCUUAACCUGGGAACUGCAUUUGUGACUGGCGGGCUAGAGUAUGGCAGAGGGGGGUAGAAUUCCACGUGUAGCAGUGAAAUGCGUAGGGAUGUGGAGGAAUACCGAUGGCGAAGGCAGCCCCCUGGGCCAAUACUGACGCUCAUGCACGAAAGCGUGGGGAGCAAACAGGAUUAGAUACCCGGGUAGUCCCUGUCUCUUAUAA
rnacentral:rRNA from 1 species